GAUGAAGAACGCAGCGAAAUGCGAUAAGUAAUGUGAAUUGCAGAAUUCAGUGAAUCAUCGAAUCUUUGAACGCACAUUGCGCCCCUUGGUAUUCCGAGGGGCAUGCCCGUUCGAGCGUCAUUAUACCCCUCAAGCCUAGCUUGGUGUUGGGGCCUGCUGUUACCGGCAGCCCUUAAAAUCAGUGGCGGUGCCAUCUGGCUCUAAGCGUAGUAAUACUUCUCGCUACAGGGUCCCGGUGGAUGCUUGCCAUCAACCCCUAAUUUUCUAUGGUUGACCUCGGAUCGGGUAGGGAUACCCGCUGAACUUAAGCAUAUCAAUAAGCCGGAGGA
rnacentral:misc_RNA from 1 species